rnacentral:sRNA from 1 species
GAACAACAUGGUGCUGCAGCACUGGCCU